rnacentral:rRNA from 1 species
AUAUUAGUAAGGGGAGGAGAAGGAACUAACGAGGAUUCCCUUAGUAGCGGCGAGCGAAGCGGGAGAAGCUCAUGCCUGGAACCGGCCGUCAAUUGCGAUGGCUGGAUUGUGGCGUUGGGCAUCAAGGUGGCUGAUGGCGUCGCGGGUCGAGUGCCUUGGAACAGGCCAUCAUAGAGGGUGACAAACCCGGCGAUGCCCGCGACUGCUAUUGGCUGUGUCUUGGUGCUACGAGUCGAGUUGCUUGGGAGUGCAGCUCUACCAGGAGGGAACGUCCUUCUUCAGCUCAAUACCGACGAGAGACCGAUAGCGCACAAGUA